UAUACAUGUAACAAGCUGAAAUUAGGAGCACUCCCUUUAAGAAAGUGCUCCUAAUCUUAGCUUGUUACCUGUAUA